GCUUCCCUAACUGAGCAGGUAUCUUAUCGGUUAACGCCAAGUUCAGUGUUCAAAUCAAGUUCAAAGCGCAGAAAAAAGGUCAUCGAGACUUCUGGACACUGUUCAGUGUCUGACUGCAUUACGAAAUUCGUCCAGGAGUAACAUUCUUCAAACGGUAUGUGACCUGAGAGCAUACGAUUGAAGGUGAGGAUUACAGUCUUCCCCUGAGCUCUGGGCCUGUUGGCAGAUUCUGCGUGUGAUGUCAUUGGGUUCCUCCUCUUCUGCACGGCCACUUUAGUGCCCUGCACCCUCACCUGACUCUCUGGGGCGUGGCUACUCCAGUCCUGAUUGGUUCCUCUGGUCUUUUCCGUCUCCCCUCCUAAUCCAACAGACACAGCGACACACGACUUGUCAUUCUCAAACGCGCUUGUACAAUGAAAGAGUUCACUGGAAUUAAACUUACAUUUCUGCUGCCAGCGCAGGAAA